rnacentral:lncRNA from 1 species
AAUGGAUUGAUCACUAUCCUCCAUGACGAUCCUUCGAUCGAGAGUAUUUAGAAAUUAAUUACUAAUGAUGUAUGUCUCAAAUUUUUAACACUUUGAGAAUAUACAAAAUCAUUUUCAUUAAUUUUUAGGAUAAAUCAUGGACACAUAAACAUGAUUGGUUAUUAAGACUGCCCAACAAGUACAAAAUAUGUCCUAGAAAAAAGUAUGCAUUAGCCAAGAUUGACUUCUAGGGC